CAAUAGCGUAUAUUAACGUUGUUGCAGUUAAAAAGCUCGUAGUUGGAUUUCUGGAGGGAGCGUCGGCCCGUAUUUACGAGUGCGUGACGUCUCUGUCCAUCCUUGCGGGAAGGCACGGCAUUGAUUUGUUGUGUCGGAUCGCAUCAUUUACUGUGAAAAAAUUAGAGUGUUCAAAGCAGGCUUUCGCUUGAAUACAUUAGCAUGGAAUAAUAAGAUAGGACUUUGGUGCUAUUUUGUUGGUUGAGCCUAAAGUAAUGAUUAAUAGGGAUAGUUGGGGGCACCUGUAUUGCGUUGUCAGAGGUGAGAUUCUUGGAUUUACGCAAGACAAACAGCUGCGAAAGCGUCUGCCAAGGAUGUUUUCAUUAA
rnacentral:rRNA from 1 species